GUCGUGGGGCAGCGCAGUGUAGCAAUACAUGGGCGGCGACCGGCAAACGGGUGCGGAACACGUACACAACCUUCCUACAAGUGGGGAAUAGCCCAGAGAAAUUUGGAUUAAUACCCCGUAACAUAUAGAGAUGGCAUCAUUUUUAUAUUAUAGCUAUGGCGCUUGUUGAUGGGUGUGCGGCUGAUUAGGUAGUUGGCGGGGUAACGGCCCACCAAGCCUUCGAUCAGUAGCUGAUGUGAGAGCAUGAUCAGCCACACGGGCACUGAGACACGGGCCCGACUCCUACGGGAGACAGCAGUAAGGAAUAUUGGACAAUGGGCGCAAGCCUGAUCCAGCCAUGCCGCGUGAAGGAUUAAGGUCCUCUGGAUUGUAAACUUCUUUUAUAAGGGACGAAAAAAGGGAAUUCUUUCUCACUUGACGGUACCUUAUGAAUAAGCACCGGCUAACUCCGUGCCAGCAGCCGCGGUAAUACGGAGGGUGCAAGCGUUAUCCGGAUUCACUGGGUUUAAAGGGUGCGUAGGCGGGUAUUUAAGUCAGUGGUGAAAUCCUAGAGCUUAACUCUAGAACUGCCAUUGAUACUAUUUAUCUUGAAUAUUGUGGAGGUAAGCGGAAUAUGUCAUGUAGCGGUGAAAUGCUUAGAUAUGACAUAGAACACCUAUUGCGAAGGCAGCUUACUACGCAUAUAUUGACGCUGAGGCACGAAAGCGUGGGGAUCAA
rnacentral:rRNA from 1 species